rnacentral:rRNA from 1 species
AGAGUUUGAUCCUGGCUCAGGACGAACGCUGACGGUGUGCUUUAGGCAUGCAAGUCGAACGAGAAAGCCCUUCGGGGUGAGUAAAGUGGCGAACGGGUGAGUAACACGUGGGCAACCUGCCCCUCGCAGGGGGACAACCGGAGGAAACUCCGGCUAAUACCCCGUACGCUUGUUGGAUCGCAUGGUCCGGCAAGGAAAGGUAGCUUCGGCCAUCCGGCGAGGGAUGGGCCCGCGUUGCAUUAGCUAGUUGGUGGGGUAACGGCCUACCAAGGCGACGAUGCGUAGCUGGUCUGAGAGGAUGAUCAGCCACACUGGGACUGAGACACGGCCCAGACUCCUACGGGAGGCAGCAGCCAGGAAUCUUGGGCAAUGGGCGAAAGCCUGACCCAGCAACACCGUGUGGGCGAUGAAGGCCUUAGGGUCGUAAAGCCCUGUUGAUAGGGACGAAGGGCGAAGGGUUAAUAGCCCCUAGCUUGACGGUACCUUUCGAGGAAGCCCCGGCUAACUACGUGCCAGCAGCCGCGGUAAUACGUAGGGGGCGAGCGUUGUCCGGAAUUAUUGGGCGUAAAGAGCGUGUAGGCGGUUCGGUAAGUCUGCUGUGAAAUCCUGGGGCUCAACCCUGGGCGUGCAGCGGAUACUGCCGGGCUAGAGGGUGGUAGAGGCGAGUGGAAUUCCGAGUGUAGCGGUGAAAUGCGCAGAUAUUCGGAGGAACACCAGUAGCGAAGGCGGCUCGCUGGGCCACACCUGACGCUGAGACGCGAAAGCGUGGGGAGCGAACAGGAUUAGAUACCCUAGUAGUCC